AUUGAACGCUGGCGGCAGGCCUAACACAUGCAAGUCGAGCGGAUGAAGGGAGCUUGCUCCUGGAUUCAGCGGCGGACGGGUGAGUAAUGCCUAGGAAUCUGCCUGGUAGUGGGGGAUAUCGUCCGGAAACGGGCGCUAAUACCGCAUACGUCCUGAGGGAGAAAGUGGGGGAUCUUCGGACCUCACGCUAUCAGAUGAGCCUAGGUCGGAUUAGCUAGUUGGUGGGGUAAAGGCCUACCAAGGCGACGAUCCGUAACUGGUCUGAGAGGAUGAUCAGUCACCCUGGAACUGAGAAACGGCCCAAACUCCUACGGGGGGCAGCGGUGGGGAUUUUUGGCAAUGGGGGGAAAGCCUGAUCCAGCCAUGCCGGGGGGGUGAAAAAGGUCUUCGGUUUGUAAAGCACUUUAAGUGGGGAGGAAGGGCAGUAAGUUAAAACCUUGCUUUUUUGACGUUACCAACAAAAUAAGCCCCGCCUAACUUCGG
rnacentral:rRNA from 1 species